AUAUAUUUGCUUGUUGUAAAUUAGGAAAUCUAGCAUGAUAUAAGUAAUAUGACUAAGUAAUUAGAGAAUAAAGUCACCAAGAAGAAAUAAGACAUGAGGCCUCAGAAAAGAAUACUGGUAGAUAAGGUACGAUAUUAUUUGUGAAUGGAAUUUUAGUAGGUAAAAGUGUUUGUGGAACUGCUAAAGUUUACAAAAAAAAAAGAAAAGUUAUACUAAUGAAAUUGAAUAUGUUCCGAAUUCUAAUUUGACAGUCACAAGUAUUUUGUAAAA